CACGUAGGGCGCAAGCGUUGUCCGGAAUUAUUGGGCGUAAAGAGCUCGUAGGCGGUCUGUUGCGUCCGCUGUGAAAACCCGGGGCUUAACCCUGGGCUGGCAGUGGAUACGGACAGACUAGAGGUAGGUAGGGGAGAAUGGAAUUCCCGGUGUAGCGGUGAAAUGCGCAGAUAUCAGGAAGAACACCCGUGGCGAAGGCGGCUCUCUGGUACGUGACUGACGCUGAGACGCGAAAGCGUGGGGAGCAAACAGG
rnacentral:rRNA from 1 species